CUGCCACUGAAGAGUCCCACAAUAGGACGAAAUGGCCGUCCAAUAC
rnacentral:hammerhead_ribozyme from 1 species